GGGGAUGUAGCUCAGUGAUAGAGCACUUGUCUAGCAUGCACAAGGCUCUGGGUUCCAUCUUCAGUAUCACCA
rnacentral:tRNA from 1 species